rnacentral:tRNA from 1 species
UGAUAGCCCAAUUGGUUAGAGCGGCGGACUGUUAAUCCGUAGGUUGUAGGUUCGAGUCCUACUCGG